UUAAAGCAAUAUCAUAAAUGCAAACAUAUGUGCACAUUAUUAAAUGUGCACAUUUAAUAAUGUGCACAUUAUUUUUUUAAUAAUGUGCACAUUAUUUAAAAAAAUUUGCACUUUUUUUAAUAAUGUGUUUUUGAUGGGAUUGGUUUGGUAUUGUGCAAAUCAGAAGAGUCAGGGCUUAUAGAUUUGAUCUGAUGCUGUCAGCUGCAGAAGAAGAAAAACUCCCAUCAGAUUCAUUCAACACCUUCAUGUUCUCUGUAGCUCUGCUGCUGCUGCUGUGAGUCUCUCUACGAUAGAAACAUUUAAUGGAUGAAUAAACUGAAAUGAAUCUGCAUUGUUGCUAACAACUGAGUUUUACUGUGUUUUUCCCCAGGUGGAAGUGUGAACAACUGACACAGCCAGACUGAGGCUGUGCAGCCAGGUCAACGUCUGACCAUCAGCUGUCAGGAGGAGGAGUCAAUGCAAAUACUGAACGCUCCACUUUUACAUGUCUGUUAGUUUAAGAGCAGCAGUGAAUUAGUGGUGAACACAGAAUGAACAGAGACAAAUGGCUUCUACAAUGAUUAGAUUUAAUGGUCUCCUUGCCUUAAUUAUUUUGUCUGCAAACUGGAGUGGAACUAAUGGUCAAACAUUGACUGAGUCUGAAUCAGUGGUUAAAAGGCCUGGAGACUCUCACAGACUGACCUGCACAUAUUCUGGGCUUGGCAAUCCUCACAUGCACUGGGUCAGACAGGCAGCUGGAAAAGGACCGGAAUGGAUCGCUUAUAUCUGGUAUGACAGCGGUGGCAUCUACUACUCUGACUCAGUAAGAGGCCGGUUCACCAUCUCCAGAGACAACAGCAGAAAUCAGGUGUAUCUGCAGAUGAAC